UACGAAGGGGGCUAGCGUUGUUCGGAUUUACUGGGCGUAAAGAGCUCGUAGGCGGUUUGUCACGUCUGCUGUGAAAUCCCGAGGCUCAACCUCGGGCCUGCAGUGGGUACGGGCAGACUGGAGUGCGGUAGGGGAGAAUGGAAUUCCUGGUGUAGCGGUGGAAUGCGCAGAUAUCAGGAGGAACACCGGUGGCGAAGGCGGGUCUCUGGGCCGAUACUGACGCUGAGGAGCGAAAGCGUGGGGAGCGAACAGG
rnacentral:rRNA from 1 species